rnacentral:tRNA from 1 species
UGCAUCGGCCGAGAAUCGAACCUGAGCCGCCCGUGUGGCAGGCGAGCAUUCUACCACUGAACCACCGAUUC